rnacentral:lncRNA from 1 species
UCACCUUCCCUUUCUUAGGGCUGCGGAUCCUCCAACCCAUUUUAUAGUUUUUAUAUUUAUCUGUCUCCCCCUGUCUGCAUCUGUGUCUCAAAGAUAUUGGUGGAAAGUAAGUGCAACAAGGCAGAAUAAAAAGCCAAGGAGCACCACAAGAAAGUAGAGACCAAAGUGGGUUUUUUUUUUUCCUUUCCCUUUCUCAAGUCAUGUUACUGUGGAGAAAUUUCCAGGACAUAGCCAUCAAAUUGGGGUUAGGUAAUGGUCUAACUUUUCUAAGGAGCGACAGGCUUUUCCAUCAAACAAAGACUCAUGUCCCAAUGACCACCCUAGGGCAUAUUUGGUUGAAAAAAGUUGGCCUGUUGAAUAGGACUGAAAAUGAAUGAUACCUAUUCCAGCCGUUUG